UACGUAGGGUGCAAGCGUUGUCCGGAAUUAUUGGGCGUAAAGAGCUUGUAGGCGGUUUGUCGCGUCUGCUGUGAAAUUUCGGGGCUCAACCCCGAACUUGCAGUGGGUACGGGCAGACUAGAGUGUGGUAGGGGAGACUGGAAUUCCUGGUGUAGCGGUGAAAUGCGCAGAUAUCAGGAGGAACACCAAUGGCGAAGGCAGCUCACUGGGACGGUAUUGACGCUGAGACGCGAAAGCGUGGGGGAGCAAACAGG
rnacentral:rRNA from 1 species